rnacentral:rRNA from 1 species
UGAACGCUGGCGGCAGGCUUAACACAUGCAAGUCGAGCGGUAACAUUGGUAGCUUGCUACCAGAUGACGAGCGGCGGACGGGUGAGUAAUGCUUAGGAAUCUACCUAGUAGUGGGGGAUAGCUCGGGGAAACUCGAAUUAAUACCGCAUACGUCCUACGGGAGAAAGCAGGGGAUCUUUGGACCUUGCGCUAUUAGAUGAGCCUAAGUCGGAUUAGCUAGUUGGUGGGGUAAAGGCCUACCAAGGCGACGAUCUGUAGCUGGUCUGAGAGGAUGAUCAGCCACACUGGGACUGAGACACGGCCCAGACUCCUACGGGAGGCAGCAGUGGGGAAUAUUGGACAAUGGGGGAACCCUGAUCCAGCCAUGCCGCGUGUGUGAAGAAGGCCUUUUGGUUGUAAAGCACUUUAAGCAGUGAAGAAGAAGUUAUGGUUAAUACCCAUAAUGGAUGACAUUAGCUGCAGAAUAAGCACCGGCUAACUCUGUGCCAGCAGCCGCGGUAAUACAGAGGGUGCGAGCGUUAAUCGGAAUUACUGGGCGUAAAGCGAGCGUAGGUGGCUUAAUAAGUCAGAUGUGAAAUCCCCGGGCUUAACCUGGGAACUGCAUCUGAAACUGUUCGGCUAGAGUAGGUGAGAGGGAAGUAGAAUUCCAGGUGUAGCGGUGAAAUGCGUAGAGAUCUGGAGGAAUACCGAUGGCGAAGGCAGCUUCCUGGCAUCAUACUGACACUGAGGUCCGAAAGCGUGGGUAGCAAACAGGAUUAGAUACCCUGGUAGUCCACGCCGUAAACGAUGUCUACUAGUCG